AAUCAACGCUGGCGGCGUGCCUCAGACAUGCAAGUCGAACGCGAAAUUUCCCUUCGGGGAGAAAGUAGAGUGGCGCACGGGUGAGUAACACGUAGGUAAUUUGCCUUUGGGUGGGGAAUAACUCAGGGAAACUUGAGCUAAUACCGCAUAAUGCAGCGGCUCGACAUCGAGACAGUUGUUAAAGCGGGGGAUCGCAAGACCUCGCGCCUGAAGAGAAGCCUGCGGCAGAUUAGCUAGUUGGUAAGGUAAUGGCUUACCAAGGCGACGAUCUGUAACCGGCCUGAGAGGGCGGUCGGUCACACUGACACUGACAUACGGGUCAGACUCCUACGGGAGGCAGCAGUCGGGAAUUUUGGGCAAUAGGGCGAAAGCCUGACCCAGCAACGCCGCGUGAAGGA
rnacentral:rRNA from 1 species